rnacentral:rRNA from 1 species
GACUACAGGGGUAUCUAAUCCCGUUUGCUACCUUAGCUUUCGUGUCUGAGCGUCAGAAAUGGGCCAGGAGGCCGCUUUCGCCACUGGUGUUCCUCCGCAUAUCUACGCAUUUCACCACUACACGCGGAAUUCCACCUCCCUCUACCACUCUCUAGUCUGAUAGUUUUGAACGACCUCUCCCAGUUGAGCCGGGAGCUUUCACAUCCAACUUAUCAAACCGCCUACACACGCUUUACGCCCAGUAAAUCCGGAUAACGCUCGCCUCCUACGUUUUACCGCGGCUGCUGGCACGUAGUUAGCCGAGGCUUAUUCUGAAGGUACUGUCCUUCCUCAUCCCUUCAAAAAGCACUUUACGACCCGAAGGCCUUCAUCGUGCACGCGGCGUUGCUGGUUCCCGGUUUCCCAGAUUACCAAUAUUCCCCACUGCAGCCACCCGUAGG